CCCCACAGGAAGCUGCCUGCAAGUUCAGGGAGCCCUUCUGCGUCUUAACGAGGGCUUGAAUAUACUUUCAGAGAAAUGCCAGCAAAAACUGUAGUCAUUUGGGGAAGAAUAAGUCUGGAAGAAAAAUACACAGAGGACUAGCACCAAGAGGGUUCGAGCCCCGAGUCAGGCCCUGCACUCACAGUGCCACCCAGACAUCCCUGCAGCUUCCAGCUUUCAAGUGAAUAAGAUGUGUGCCCAACACCACCCAGCCAACAAGGAACAAAGCCAGGAUUUAAAUUUAGACAGUUGCAGCUCAGAGCCUACAUUCUUUCUCCUCACCCUGAAGGGAAGUGGGAGAAGGAGUGUUUGUGUUUGGGUGGGGGGUGGGAUUUGAACAUAGAUAGAUAUAUAUUAUCUUAUAUCCAAGAUCAAUCUGUCUCUUCUUCCUCUGCCUUCUACGACAUCCUUACUCAUCUACUCAAGGACUUUAUAACUGCUGUGUCACAAAUCACCUCAAAACUUGGUGGCUUAAGACAACAAUCAUACAGCAUUGCUCACAAGUCUAAAGCAGUGAGAGAUUUUAGACAUGAACAGAGCUCCACUGGACUUGAAUUGCUUUGAUAAAUCUCAGCUCAUGAUGGUGACAAUCCUGAGGAUAUAGGAAAGUCAUUUCCCCUGCAGGAAGAAAAAAAAUAUCCUAUAGGAGAGAGGAGUAUGCCAAGGAGCCAAAAAAGGUAAGAAAAUAAUAUCUAUUCAUUCACUCAGUCAACAAACAUAUGAAGUACCUACUAUGUAAAACAUGGCACUAGGAUCGAGAAUCUAACAUUAGUCUGUACCCUCAAGAGUUUAAUGACAAUUCAGGCAUAAAAUGGAAUGUAAUGAGGGUUAGAACAAGUCCCUCCAGAAGGCAUGCAAGGGGUAUAUGUGGCAGGGAUUCAGACAGACCUCCUGGAGAAGAUGCUGUCUGGAUGGGAUGCAGGGGGACGAAAUACUGCAGGUAUUCAUUAUGGCUAGAGUGUCAGUGUGGGAAAGCAUGGCAUGGAACUGCACCUGGAGACUGAAGGAGGGGCCCUGUGAAGUUCUGCCUUUACUCAGAGACCCAGGGGAACCCACUGAAAGAUUUAAAGAAGGGGGAUGACAUUUAACUAUUUUUAUUUCUGUAAGAUCACAUGGGUUGCACCAUGGAAGCAAAUUGGAAGGUGGACCAGAACUGAGCGUUUAUGAAUUUUAUAGCCAAAAAUCUUGUGUAGUUUUCUGUGCGUAUGAAGUCUGUAAAAUGCAGUGAAACUCACUCUCUUUUAAAUCUAUGUGGCUUGCUGGUCCAGUCCAGUGCUAUCACCCUUCAGUCAGUCCUUGUUAGACUCCCACUCAGUUCCGUAUAAUUAGUGAUACAGCUGCCACAGUAGACAAAGAGGAGGAGAAUGAGGUAUGAACUGUUUUGUUUUCCUUCUCUCAUCUAGUCAGUGUAAAGAAUUUCACUAGUAAUUUUUUUUCUUUUGACAAAAGCAUUAAUAUAAUUUAUUAACAUAUCAGCCUCCCCCCUCCCAAGAUCUUAACGUGGCAUUAUGGUCUAUUUAAAAUAUUGCAUUCCUGAUGUUGAUCUAUGUAAGAACGAUCCUGCAUUGUUCUUAGUUGCAAUAAAACAAAAGAGACAAAAGCAACCCAAAUAUCCAUCAAGAGAAAAUAGUUAAGUCAGCUUUUGUCAAAUCACACCAUAGAAUUUAUAUAUGAGCACAAGUGAAGGAAAUUUAGCUGCAUACUUUAUGAGAGAUGAAUCGUAGGUGUAUAAUGUUAAAUGAAAACCACAGGUCUCUGAGGGCCACGCACAGUAUAAUAUCAUUUUUAUAACACCCAAGAACAAACAAAUCUGAGUUACUUAUUACUUAGCAAUAUAUGGAUAUGUAGUAAAAGUAAAAAUAAAUAGCCAGAAAAUUAUAAAAUAAUCAAGUUAGUAUAUUCCUCAAAGAGGAGGAAGGUAGGAGCACUGGUAAGGAGCACACAGACAACUUCAAGACAUUGACAUUGGUAAAGUUGCAGUUCUUGCCUUUCGGAAUGGCGUUGAUUCCUUAAUUUUGAAAACUGUGCUGUAUUUAAGUAGAAUGUUAUAUUUAGGGAAGCCGAAUAAAAGGUUAUGGAACUUUUACACUA